rnacentral:rRNA from 1 species
UAAGACGGAGGGAGCAAGCGUUGUUCGGAUUUACUGGGCGUAAAGGGCGUCUAGGCGGGCUGAUAAGUCAGAUGUGAAAUACCUCGGCUCAACCGGGGAACUGCAUUUGAUACUGUCGGUCUUGAGUACGGAAGAGGAAAGCGGAAUUCCUGGUGUAGCGGUGAAAUGCGUAGAUAUCAGGAAGAACACCGGUGGCGAAGGCGGCUUUCUGGUCCGUUACUGACGCUGAAGCGCGAAAGUGUGGGGAGCAAACAGG